rnacentral:misc_RNA from 1 species
AACGCACAUUGCGCCCUAUGGUAUUCCGUAGGGCAUGCCUGUUCGAGCGUCAUUCAAACCUUCAAGCUCUGCUUGGUGUUGGGCGUCUGUCCUGCCUCACGGCGUGGACUCGCCUCAAAUGUAUUGGCGGCCGGCACGUUGGCUUCGAGCGCAGCAGAAACGCGAACUCGGGCCCGGCGGAUCGGCUCCCAGAAGCUACCCCCAUGAAUUUGACCUCGGAUCAGGUAGGGAUACCCGCUGAACUUAA